UGCUUUCUUACAGCACUCAAGACCACCUGCC
rnacentral:piRNA from 1 species